rnacentral:tRNA from 1 species
GCUGUUGUGGCUCAGUAGGUAGAGCACGUCCUUGGUAAGGACGAGGUCACGGGUUCAAAUCCCGUCAACAGCUCCA